rnacentral:lncRNA from 1 species
UCAGAACCAACUUGCUGAUAAAAAUUACAUCUUAAUCUUGACAAACCUUAUUAUCCUUCGACAGACAUCUUAUUAUGGACUCUGUUUAUAUUGAACCCUUCACCCAAAAACCCUGGAAAUGGAUAUCCUAAUGAACAACAGCAGGUAUUAUUUGCUUUCAUUGAAUGAGGCAUGCGUGGUUUAAACAAUAUGACAAAAUCAUAGUCCCGACCGUUUCUAAUUCCUUUUGUGGUAUAUUUUCUAGUAUGACUUAGAUUUAUAUAGAUACUGGUAAAUCUAGACAUAUAUAUAUAAAUUAUAUAUAUUUAUCAAUAAAUGAGUUUAGACGAAAAGUCUUAUGGUAUAAAACAGAGACAGUGCCAUAUUUGCAUUUCUAUUGUCUGGACACACUAGAGGUGAGACGAUGACUCAGAGAAGUAAGGGACGACAGAACAAACUUACCGCAUCAAAAUCAUUUCUACGUGAUAUUUGAUUGACUAUUUAGUUCUGUAAUUACACAAUGCAUGGUGUACGUAGUUAAUUUAUAUAUAACAGAUCUAAGG